rnacentral:rRNA from 1 species
CCGGCAAGGGCCGGCAGGCCUACACAUGCAGUCGAACGGUAACAGGAAGCAGCUUGCUGUUUCGCUGACGAGUGGCGGACGGGUGAGUAAUGUCUGGGAAACUGCCUGAUGGAGGGGGAUAACUACUGGAAACGGUAGCUAAUACCGCAUAACGUCGCAAGACCAAAGAGGGGGACCUUCGGGCCUCUUGCCAUCGGAUGUGCCCAGAUGGGAUUAGCUUGUAGGUGGGGUAACGGCUCACCUAGGCGACGAUCCCUAGCUGGUCUGAGAGGAUGACCAGCCACACUGGAACUGAGACACGGUCCAGACUCCUACGGGAGGCAGCAGUGGGGAAUAUUGCACAAUGGGCGCAAGCCUGAUGCAGCCAUGCCGCGUGUAUGAAGAAGGCCUUCGGGUUGUAAAGUACUUUCAGCGGGGAGGAAGGGAGUAAAGUUAAUACCUUUGCUCAUUGACGUUACCCGCAGAAGAAGCACCGGCUAACUCCGUGCCAGCAGCCGCGGUAAUACGGAGGGUGCAAGCGUUAAUCGGAAUUACUGGGCGUAAAGCGCACGCAGGCGGUUUGUUAAGUCAGAUGUGAAAUCCCCGGGCUCAACCUGGGAACUGCAUCUGAUACUGGCAAGCUUGAGUCUCGUAGAGGGGGGUAGAACUCCAUGGGUUAGCGGUG